rnacentral:tRNA from 1 species
GCCACUGUGGCUCAGUGGUUAGAGCACUGGCCAACCCAGAGUCACAGGUUCGAUUCCCAGUCAAGGGCA